UACAGAGGGGGCAAGCGUUGUUCGGAUUUACUGGGCGUAAAGGGCGCGUAGGCGGCCAGCACAAGUCAGUUGUGAAAUCUCCGAGCUUAACUCGGAAAGGUCAACUGAUACUGUGCGGCUAGAGUGCGGAAGGGGCAACUGGAAUUCUUGGUGUAGCGGUGAAAUGCGUAGAUAUCAAGAGGAACACCUGCGGCGAAGGCGGGUAGCUGGGCCAACACUGACGCUGAGACGCGAAAGCUAGGGGAGCAAACGGG
rnacentral:rRNA from 1 species